AUUGAACGCUGGCGGCAGGCCUAACACAUGCAAGUCGAGCGGAUGAAGGGAGCUUGCUCCUGGAUUCAGCGGCGGACGGGUGAGUAAUGCCUAGGAAUCUGCCUGGUAGUGGGGGAUAACGUCCGGAAACGGGCGCUAAUACCGCAUACGUCCUGAGGGAGAAAGUGGGGGAUCUUCGGACCUCACGCUAUCAGAUGAGCCUAGGUCGGAUUAGCUAGUUGGUGGGGUAAAGGCCUACCAAGGCGACGAUCCGUAACUGGUCUGAGAGGAUGAUCAGUCACACUGGAACUGAGACACGGUCCAGACUCCUACGGGAGGCAGCAGUGGGGAAUAUUGGCCAUAGGGCGAAAGCCUGAUCCAGCCAUGCCGCGUGUGUGAAGAAGGUCUUCGGAUGGUAAAGCACUUUAAGUUGGGAGGAAGGGCAGUAAGUUAAUACCUUGCUGUUUUGACGUUACCAACAGAAUAAGCACCGGCUAACUUCGUG
rnacentral:rRNA from 1 species